rnacentral:rRNA from 1 species
AAAGGUAAGCUACUAAGAGCGAAUGGUGGAUGCCUUGACUGGUAAAGGCGAUGAAGGACGUACUAGACUGCGAUAAGCUACGGGGAGCUGUCAAGAAGCUUUGAUCCGUAGAUUUCCGAAUGGGGCAACCCAAUGUAUAGAGAUAUACAUUACCUAUAUAGGAGCGAACGAGGGGAAUUGAAACAUCUUAGUACUCUCAGGAAAAGAAAUCAAUAGAGAUUGCGUCAGUAGCGGCGAGCGAAAGCGCAAGAGGGCAAACCCAGUGCUUGCACUGGGGGUUGUAGGACUGCAAUGUGCAAGAGGUAAGUUUAGCAGAACAUUCUGGAAAGUAUAACCAUAGAGGGUGAUAGUCCCGUAUGCGAAAAACAAACCUUAGCUAGCAGUAUCCUGAGUAGGGCGGGACACGAGGAAUCCUGUCUGAAUCCGGGUCGACCACGAUCCAACCCUAAAUACUAAUACCAGAUCGAUAGUGCACAAGUACCGUGAGGGAAAGGUGAAAAGAACUGAGGUGAUCAGAGUGAAAUAGAACCUGAAACCAUUUGCUUACAAUCAUUCAGAGCCCUAUGUAGCAAUACAG